GGGAAAUCACCACCCCCAUCACAACAACAACACUCACCAAGACCUGUUUAGGACAGCCAUUCAGUUCAGGUAGUUGUGUGGUCAGGCAUGCCAAAGGGCCAAGAGCACAGAUAAUGGAGUCCAGGAGCACUGACAAGCUUCCGGACACUGCUACCAUGCCCUGCAAGAAAAGCAGACGACUGAGUCACACGCAGUCGCUCUUCUGUUCAACUCUCUUUUAUGUCCUCUCAAUAACACACAGUAACAGACAGCAGUGUGGGUAGACAGCAGAGGAUCUGUGAGAGGCUGGGCCCCCAGGCUACUGGAAUUCACUCCCAUGUAAGAUCUCAAUAACCAUUUGUGUGUGUGGCUUGUACACUGCACUGCUGUUGUACGUUCUCCCCAAUACUCGUCUCUUACAGUCGCUACAUGAAAUACAUGUGCUCAGAAGGCCAACAGGGACUCUAAUCACCCUCCCUACUCAAAAACUCCCCUGAAGCUCCCGAGCAGGAACUACAAAUACCUCAGUGUCCACCAAGACAUCUGGCGUUGACAUUUCGUCUCGUCUUCCUACCUUAUGUGCUGUAUGCCUCCGCCUCAACAGUUAAGCAGGAAGAGUCAUCUUGAGACCUGUUUAAAGUAGGGCUGGGAGCCUAAAGCCUCAAUGGACCUCUGCAAAAGACUCCAGCGUAACAGAGUUACAGAUGUGCUCACUGCUCAGCCUCAAUUCCCAUCUGAACUGCAUGUGCUGUGGGAAUAGCAUGAUGUAACCUCGUCCGUGCCGCAUGGCUAUCUGCUUGUAUCUGUAUCUGCAUGGGCUGUAGCUGUCGUAGCCACC
rnacentral:lncRNA from 1 species